rnacentral:rRNA from 1 species
CAGCACCUCAAGUGGUCAGGAUGAUUAUUGGGCCUAAAGCAUCCGUAGCCUGCUUUGUUAGUUUUCGGUUAAAUCCAUACGCUCAACGUAUGGGCUGCCGGGAAUACUGCAAAGCUAGGGAGUGGGAGAGGUAGACGGUACUCGGUAGGAAGGGGUAAAUCCUUUGAUCUAUUGAUGACCACCUGUGGCGAAGGCGGUCUACCAGAACACGUCCGACGGUGAGGGAUGAAAGCUGGGGGAGCAAACCGGAUUAGAUACCCGAGUAGUCC